UUCUGUACCAACUCUGGGUGCAGGACCAAGCAAAAACCGGAAGAAUUGGAGAAAGAAGACAUUAGUGAAGACCAGAACUAGAAAUUUGAUGUUUUAUAUAUCAGGAGAGUCCAGAAAUAGUCACGAAAUCUGCACACUGAAGGAGAGAAUCCUGAACAUGUUUUCUCAUGUUAUGUCUUCCAUUAGCAUGUGUGUAGACGGGCACCAAGUUUACUGGAGGACAGAAGCAAACACUACCCUCAAUGAUGAGGUCAUCACAACUUCAGAGCAAUUCCAGACUUCAAGGAAACAUGUUCAGGCAAACAGAGUACUCUCUCUAGGCCAGACGGACUUUUAUGUGUGCUGUGUUGUGUUUGGUGGCCACAGCGCAGUCAGGAAGAUGGUCAUCAGGAUGACUUGGUUGCAAGACCAGACAAUCUGGAGCAGCUUACAUUGAGUUGAGGCAGGAGGGAGGGCUACCUCAUGCUGUUCUACAUGAGCCAAAUAUGACACAGACCACAGAGCAGCAGCCAUAUCCUCUUGUCUCACAGAGCUGGUGAGGAGGUCCACUUUGUUCUGGAAGUUGUUAUCUCACAAGUGAUGCUGUGGAGCUUCAAUAGUCAGUGAUCAUAAAAAGCCAAAGGACCGAAGUGUGAAGAGUUUAAGCCCCAAACAGCAUCCUCUAAGGUUCUGGUGGGAGCCUAGCCAGUACCAUCAGUAGGGUAUUCUCUUGUAAACUCUGAUAUUUUUCUCAGUUUCCAUGGUGUUGGGGUACCAGACUCUAGUCAAGUAUCUCACCUAGGGAGACACUGUGCUGCCUGUGUCAGGAACCUCAGUUUCUACCUGAAUCUGUAUGUUGGUGGUAAGCCUCAUCCAGGCUUACAGUCAAUCAAAAAGCAAGCUCACUCGAGUCAGAAACUUGACUUUCCAUGUCGUCAGUUAGGUUUAAGUUCUGUGCCUUACUUCUUUAACAAACCUUUGUCUCUCACAGAAGCCCUCUGAGCAGUCACACAUGUAGGCUUGUGUCUGGGACUCUUUGGGACCACUGUCCCUCUGCAGUCAAUUAGUAUGUAUGAGCACUUAAAACCUGUGCUCUAGGUACCCUGAAGCAGCCAAAGUGGGCCAGCAGUGGGCACACUGGGCCCUUACAAACAUACUGGUUCCUGGCCAGAAAAUAUUUUAACCUCUAAACAAAUACCAUUUUAAGAGAAUCAAUUUCCAGUCUCUAUGGACUCCUAAUGUACUGUUCAACCUUGAAAUAAGCUUCAUUAAUAGAGGGCACCUCAGUGUCUUCCUUUGGGCUCUGUGAAUGAGCAUAGUGUGCAUACAUACAUACCAGUGAACAUAUAUGACACAGGUUGAAAAUAUACACAGAUAGAUACAUACACCAUGCUCAAAUAUAGAAAAGUCUCUCUCUCUCUCACUCUACACACACACACACACACACACACACACACAGGAGCUCUACCUCUUGGAAUGAGCACAUUGAUUCUAGGAUCCCAGCCUUUCUUGGGUCUCUGUGGCUGCAUCCCUGGCUCUUACAUAUUUUAUGGGAUGGGCUUCUGGUCCUCUCACUAUGUUGCUGCAUUUCCUCUGAAUCCAAACUCAGUGGAAAAGUCUGGGCUGAUGUGGAGUAAAGUGCCAGAAUCUCAUUGAUCUGAGAUUGAUUCUACACCUUGAGAAACAACUGAUCACUGCUAAGUGUAUUAUAAAGAACACAACCUGGGAGAAGAAACCACUUCCUAGGCAGGUGAGAUCCACUUUCUAGGUAAAAUCACAGAAUCAAAUAUGUUUAAUUUACCAUCUUACAUAGUUUUUCCCUUUGCAUUCAGAUAGCUUGACUGUUAUGGUUUCAAUAAGAAUGGUCCCCAUAGGUUAUAGAUUUGAAUACUUGGUCAUUCAUCUAGGAUUGGUACUACUUGAGAAGGAAUAGGAUGUGUGCUCUUUGAAGGAAGUAUGUCACUAGCAGUGGUAUUUGAGGUUUCAAAAGUCCAUGCCAAGCCCAGUGACUCCAUUUUC